GUGCUCGCUUUGGCAGCACAUAUACUAAAAUUGGAACGAUACAGAGAAGAUUAGCAUGGCCCCUGCACAAGGAUGACACACAAAUUCAUGAAGCGUUCCAUAUUUUU
rnacentral:snRNA from 1 species